UAUAUACUUCCUCCGUUCCGAAUUACUCAUCGCAAAAAUGGAUGUAUCUAGAUGUAUUUUAGUUCUAGAUACAUUCAUUUCUGCGACGAGUAAUUUGGAACGGAGGGAGUACAAA
rnacentral:pre_miRNA from 1 species